AUGGUGCGAUCUAUGAUGUCUCUUACCGAUUUACCGCUCUCAUUUUGGGGUUAUGCUUUAGAGACUGCCGCAUUCACUUUAAAUAGGGCACCGUCUAAAUCCGUUGAGACGACACCGUAUGAAUUAUGGUUUGGGAAGAAACCUAAGCUAUCGUUUCUAAAAGUUUGGGGAUGCGAUGCUUAUGUCAAGAAACUUCAACCUGAAAAGCUCGAACCCAAAUCGGAAAAAUGCGUCUUCAUAGGAUACCCUAAGGAAACUAUUGGGUAUACCUUCUACCUCAGAUCCGAAGGCAAGAUCUUCGUUGCCAAGAACAGGUCCUUUCUAGAGAAGGAGUUUCUCUUGAAAGAAUUGAGUGGGAGGAAAGUGGAACUUGAUGAGGUGAUAGUCACCCCUUCCGAACCGGAAAGUAGCGCAGCGCGGGAAAAUGUUCCUGUGGUGCCUACACCGACUGGGGAGGAAGUUAAUGAUGAUGAUCAUGAAACUUCAGAUCAAGUUACUGAACUUCGUAGGUCCACAAGGACACGUUCCGCACCAGAGUGGUACGGCAACCCUGUCCUGGAAAUCAUGUUGUUAGACAACGGUGAACCUUCGAACUAUGAAGAAGCGAUGGCGAGCCCGGAUUCUGACAAAUGGCUAGAAGCCAUGAAAUCCGAGAUAGAAUCCAUGUAUGAAAACAAAGUAUGGACUUUGACUGACUUGCCCGAUGAGCGGCGAGCCAUAGAAAACAAAUGGAUCUUUAAGAAGAAGACGGACGCAGAUGGUAAUGUGACCAUCUACAAAGCUCGACUUGUCGCUAAGGGUUAUCAACAAGUUCAAGAGGUUGACUACGAUGAGACUUUCUCACCCGUAGCGAAGCUGAAGUCCGUCCGAAUCAUGUUAGCAAUUGCCGCAUACUAUGAUUAUGAGAUAUGGCAGAUGGACGUCAAAACGGCAUUCCUUAACGGCUUCCUUAAGGAAGAGUUGUAUAUGAUGCAGCCGGAAGGUUUUGUCGAUCCUAAGAAUGCUAACAAAGUAUGCAAGCUCCAACGCUCAAUCUAUGGGCUGGUGCAAGCAUCUCGGAGUUGGAACAUUCGCUUUGAUGAGAUGAUCAAAGCGUUUGGGUUUACACAGACUUAUGGAGAAGCCUGUGUUUACAAGAAAGUGAGUGGGAGCUCUGUAGCAUUUCUCAUAUUAUAUGUGGAUGACAUACUAUUGAUGGGAAAUGAUAUAGAAUUCUUGGAAAGUAUAAAGGCCUAUUUGAAUAAGUGA
rnacentral:rRNA from 1 species